UACGAAGGGGCUAGCGUUGCUCGGAAUCACUGGGCGUAAAGGGUGCGUAGGCGGGUCUUUAAGUCAGAGGUGAAAUCCUGGAGCUCAACUCCAGAACUGCCUUGAUACUGAAGAUCUGAGUUCGGAGAGGUGAGUGGAACUGCGAGUGUAGAGGUGAAAAUUCGUAGAUAUUCGCAAGAACACCAGUGGCGAAGGCGGACUCGUCGUGG
rnacentral:rRNA from 1 species